UGAACUUGGACGAGCAGGUUCUCUCCCUCCCUUAUUUUUUCCACUUCCCUCUCUCUGUCAUAAUCCUACUUUACCUCUUCACUUUCCUUAUCCCACACUGUCUCUCUCUCUCUCUGCCCGAGCCUCCCGUUAAGCUACGGCAUCAUCCCCCAGUCAAUUUCUACCCUUCAUUUAUUUUUUCCCUUUCACCGUUCACUACCACCCUCCCCCUCUUCUCGCUAGUGUUUUGUUUUACACGCCCGCCCCAGCGCGCGGUGUAUGUGCAGGAGGUUUAUGGUAAUUGCGGUCUCCCGACUGGCCUUCUGGGUAGAGUCUGCGCGAUUGAGAGAGUCGCUCGCGGUACAGCAACCCACUCCGCUCCGCGCGCCCUGUUCGGCGUCUUCAGCAACUCCGCACGAAAGGAGCUACCAGGAGCUUUCAGAGAAAAACUACGGAAAGAUAGACAUUCCCGACCUUUUUCACAAUAUCGCCGGAGAUAAAUAGUAUAUUUUCGGAAUAGACUGGGAUUGACGAGAUUGGAAGUAAGAGCUUUGAAACGGCAUGCUCUGAUAAAACCCAACAUGGCGCUGAGAGAUACGACCGAGCUGAAUGCAUUUCAGGAGUCCGCGGACCUCGCCACCUGUAUCCUUGCGCACUGCUAAACUGUACGUUACCAGCCGCUGGGACGUUCUAUAAAGGAUGAUUGGAAACCUUAUUCUAGGGAUUUGUCACACUAAGUCGAUGUUGACGGCAUUUUCUCUCGUCUGGAAACAUAUUGACAUAUUACUGUGAAAAAGUAUUGUGCGAGUGUAAAGGAAAAACUAUAACACAUUGUUUCAUUGACUGACAAGUAAAUAACCCUUUAGCCACACUUCUGCUUAUUUAUAUCCAACGGUUUGAAUAUUCGCUGGCCCGGGAUGUCUAUGCUUUUAUAACGGAAUCGUAACCUCCACGCACGAAUAUUUGCUCAGAGCCGUGAACAACUUGGAAAAACGGGAAAAGGAAAGUCGGAAAUAGAGGAUAUUGACCAGAUGCACAAUUGAGAGCAUCCUGUCGGGCUGUAUCACCGCCUGGUACAGCAACUGCACCGCCCGCUACCACAGGGCUCUCCAGAGAGUGCUGCUGUCCUGGAGGGCAAACUAUCUGCCCUCCAGGACACCUACAGCACCCGAUGUCACAGGAAGACCAAAAAGAUAAUUAAGGACAACAACCACCCGAGCCACUGCCUGUUCACCCCGCUAUCAUCCAGAAGGAAAGAGCGCUGGUCGGUUGGAGGUGUUUUAAGACGGACUGUCCCAUGAGGGGAUGACAUGCUCUCCGCUACACAGAUGUACGGAACGGUUCCCCCAUGGAUGAGUCACGAGAGGGCCCAAAUGUAUGGGAUGGUCAUGGAGGAGAGGAGAGUACCUGUUAGUGAUGCGGGGACCCAGAGAAACCUGGAUUUAAGAGAAGGCAACCACAUCACACAAAGCAUGGUG
rnacentral:lncRNA from 1 species